AUUGAACGCUGGCGGCAGGCUUAACACAUGCAAGUCGAGCGGUAGCACAGGGGAGCUUGCUCCCUGGGUGACGAGCGGCGGACGGGUGAGUAAUGUCUGGGAAACUGCCUGAUGGAGGGGGAUAACUACUGGAAACGGUAGCUAAUACCGCAUAACGUCGCAAGACCAAAGAGGGGGACCUUCGGGCCUCUUGCCAUCAGAUGUGCCCAGAUGGGAUUAGCUAGUAGGUGGGGUAAUGGCUCACCUAGGCGACGAUCCCUAGCUGGUCUGAGAGGAUGACCAGCCACACUGGAACUGAGACACGGUCCAGACUCCUACGGGAGGCAGCAGUGGGGAAUAUUGCACAAUGGGCGCAAGCCUGAUGCAGCCAUGCCGCGUGUGUGAAGAAGGCCUUCGGGUUGUAAAGCACUUUCAGCGAGGAGGAAGGUGGUGAACUUAAUACGUUCAUCAAUUGACGUUACUCGCAGAAGAAGCACCGGCUAACUCCG
rnacentral:rRNA from 1 species